GCAUAUCAAUAAGCGGAGGAAAAGAAACCAACCGGGAUUGCCUUAGUAACGGCGAGUGAAGCGGCAAAAGCUCAAAUUUGAAAUCUGGUACCUUCGGUGCCCGAGUUGUAAUUUGGAGAGGGCAACUUUGGGGCCGUUCCUUGUCUAUGUUCCUUGGAACAGGACGUCAUAGAGGGUGAGAAUCCCGUGUGGCGAGGAGUGCGGUUCUUUGUAAAGUGCCUUCGAAGAGUCGAGUUGUUUGGGAAUGCAGCUCUAAGUGGGUGGUAAAUUCCAUCUAAAGCUAAAUAUUGGCGAGAGACCGGUAGCGAACAAGUACAGUGAUGGAAAGAUGAAAAGAACUUUGAAAAGAGAGUGAAAAAGUACGUGAAAUUGUUGAAAGGGAAGGGCAUUUGAUCAGACAUGGUGUUUUGUGCCCUCUGCUCCUUGUGGGUAGGGGAAUCUCGCAUUUCACUGGGCCAGCAUCAGUUUUGGUGGCAGGAUAAAUCCAUAGGAAUGUAGCUUGCCUCGGUAAGUAUUAUAGCCUGUGGGAAUACUGCCAGCUGGGACUGAGGACUGCGACGUAAGUCAAGGAUGCUGGCAUACUGGUUAUAUGCCGUCCGUCUUGAAACACGGACC
rnacentral:rRNA from 1 species